CCUACGGGAGGCAGCAGUGAGGAAUAUUGGUCAAUGGACGAGAGUCUGAACCAGCCAAGUAGCGUGAAGGAUGACUGCCCUAUGGGUUGUAAACUUCUUUUAUAUGGGAAUAAAACGUUCCACGUGUGGGAUUUUGUAUGUACCAUAUGAAUAAGGAUCGGCUAACUCCGUGCCAGCAGCCGCGGUAAUACGGAGGAUCCGAGCGUUAUCCGGAUUUAUUGGGUGUAAAGGGAGCGUAGGUGGAUUGUUAAGUCAGUUGUGAAAGUUUGCGGCUCAACCGUAAAAUUGCAGUUGAAACUGGCAGUCUUGAGUAUAGUAGAGGUGGGCGGAAUUCGUGGUGUAGCGGUGAAAUGCUUAGAGAUCACGAAGAACUCCGAUGGCGAAGGCAGUUCACUGGACUGCAACUGACACUGAGGCUCGAAAGUGUGGGUAUCAAACAGGAUUAGAUACCCCAGUAGUC
rnacentral:rRNA from 1 species